UUCCUUGUUCCCUGCCUCCAUCAGCUGCUGCUGAUCACCCGGAGCACCUCAAUCCACAAUGCGCCAGUCUUUGGAGGGAAGAACUAGAGGGACUCGCAUCACACCCUGGACCACGGGAAACUCGUUGGAGCUGCGAGACGGUGCUGCCACCUUGUGUCGGGUCGGACCAAAGACCGCUGACCUCCGCAGUGGGCGCUUCACCUCGGAGUCCUGGUAUUGACAGCUCAUCAUUCAGACGGACAGAAUGCUUCAGGGACACCAGUUGCCAAGACCAUGGAGCCAAGUCAAGUCAAGUCUCCUUAGAAAAUUCCUCAGAGAGGUUUUGAGGUGUAUCUUUACCAACGUGCGGUCUUACAUAGCUGGAAUACAGAUAGGCUUUAUCUCUGAGUCAGACCACCAUGUCCCUACAUCAGUUUUCAGUUUCAGGAGGGAGAGGUAUUUUCAUUUGUGAGCAAUUGGAUCUAAUAUAUUUAAUCACAUCUCAUUAUUUUAAGGGAACUACAGUAGGUUCCUGGUUAUAAAAAUAAUAAUCUAAGCUUUCCUUUCUUCCAUCAUCCAAAAUAACAUUGUGUUUUCUGAUGUGUUUAAGUUUGGGGGUCUGUCCGGCUGCUGAAAGAUAGCAAAUAGUGGGUUCAGGGGGUAGAGCUCAUGCACAACCUCUAAGUCGGUUUGAAGUUUCAGGUUAUUAGACAAUUAACUCUGCAUAUAAGGUGUCCAGCUAGUUGCAAGGACUAUUAGUAGUUUAAUAUUUUCUCUUAAAGAAAAGCCCCUGGUGGGGUGCCUGGCUGGCUCAGUUAGU